rnacentral:rRNA from 1 species
AUUGAACGCUGGCGGAAUGCUUUACACAUGCAAGUCGAACGGCAGCACGGGGGCGAACCCUGGUGGCGAGUGGCGAACGGGUGAGUAAUACAUCGGAACGUGCCCAGUCGUGGGGGAUAACGUAGCGAAAGCUACGCUAAUACCGCAUACGAUCUACGGAUGAAAGCGGGGGACGUCGCAAGGGCCUCGCGCGAUUGGAGCGGCCGAUGGCAGAUUAGGUAGUUGGUGGGGAAAGGCUCACCAAGCCAACGAUCUGUAGCUGGUCUGAGAGGACGACCAGCCACACUGGGACUGAGACACGGCCCAGACUCCUACGGGAGGCAGCAGUGGGGAAUUUUCCGCAAUGGGCGAAAGCCUGACGGAGCGACGCCGCGUGUGGGAAGAAGGCCU